UACGUAGGGUGCAGGCGUUAAUCGGAAUUACUGGGCGUAAAGCGUGCGCAGGCGGUUUCUUAAGUCAGAUGUGAAAGCCCUAGGCUUAACCUAGGAGGUGCAUUUGAUACUGUGGAACUAGAGAUCGAGAGAGGAAAGUGGAAUUACGAGUGUAGAGGUGAAAUUCGUAGAUAUUCGUAAGAACACCAGUGGCGAAGGCGACUUUCUGGCUCGAUACUGACGCUAAGGCGCGAAAGCGUGGGGAGCAAACAGG
rnacentral:rRNA from 1 species